UCGAGAAUAUUCGACAAUGGGCGAAAGCCUGAUCGAGCGACGCCGCGUGUAGGAAGAAGGUCUUCGGAUCGUAAACUACUUUUAGUGGGGAAAAAAUAAAUGAUGGUACCCAUUGAAUAAGGGGUGGCUAACUUCGUGCCAGCAGCAGCGGUAAUACGAAGGCCCCGAGCGUUAUCCGGAAUUAUUGGGCGUAAAGGGUGCGUAGGUGGUUUUGUGCGUCUCUUGUUAAAUCUCACUGCUCAACAGUGAGGCCGCAAGGGAAACGGCAGAACUAGAGGAUGCAAGAGGUCUGUAGAACUCACGGUGUAGGGGUGAAAUCCGUUGAUAUCGUGGGGAAUACCAAAGGCGAAGGCAGCAGACUGGUGCAUUUCUGACACUGAGGCACGAAAGCGUGGGGAGCAAAAAGG
rnacentral:rRNA from 1 species